GGGGCCGUGGCGCAGGCUGGUAGCGCGCCCCGACAGCAUCGGGGAGGACGAGGGUUCGACCCCCUUCGGCUCCA
rnacentral:tRNA from 1 species